CACGUAGGAGGCGAGCGUUGUCCGGAAUCAUUGGGCGUAAAGAGCGCGCAGGCGGCUUGACAAGUCGGGUGUGAAAUCCCGGGGCUCAACCCCGGGACUGCAUUCGAUACUGUCAGGCUAGAGGUAGGUAGGGGAGAUCGGAAUUCCUGGUGUAGCGGUGAAAUGCGCAGAUAUCAGGAGGAACACCGGUGGCGAAGGCGGCACUCUGGGCCGGUACUGACGCUGAGGAGCGAAAGCGUGGGGAGCGAACAGG
rnacentral:rRNA from 1 species